rnacentral:ncRNA from 1 species
GAAAGCUUAGUGCAUGGAAACAUGCCCGCUGGGUUUGGGAAGAAGCUUUAAAGUAAAUAUUUCUUGAGUUAAUUGCUUUAAUUCGAUCUUCAU